rnacentral:rRNA from 1 species
UACGGAGGGGGCUAGCGUUGUUCGGAAUUACUGGGCGUAAAGCGCGCGCAGGCGGUUCGUUAAGUCCGGUGUGAAAGCUCCCGGCUCAACUGGGAGAGGUCAUCGGAUACUGGCGGACUUGAGGAAGGUAGAGGAAGGUGGAAUUCCCGGUGUAGUGGUGAAAUGCGUAGAGAUCGGGAGGAACACCAGUGGCGAAGGCGGCCUUCUGGGCCUUUCCUGACGCUGAGGCGCGAAAGCGUGGGGAGCGAACCGG